rnacentral:rRNA from 1 species
UACGUAGGGGGCUAGCGUUGCCCGGAUUUAUUGGGCGUAAAGAGCGUGUAGGCGGCCAUGUAGGUCCGGUGUGAAAACUCGAGGCUUAACCUCGAGAUGUCAUCGGAAACCAUUUGGCUAGAGUCCGGAAGAGGAGAGUGGAAUUCCUGGUGUAGCGGUGAAAUGCGCAGAUAUCAGGAAGAACACCAAUGGCGAGAGCAGCUCUCUGGGACGGUACUGACGCUGAGACGCGAAAGCGUGGGGAGCGAACGGG